UAUAUAUUGAUUGAGAUUUGACUUGAGAUGUAAAAAUCAGUUUGGAUAAACACAACUAAACACACAGUUGUCGUUUCCUUUAUAAAUAAUACCCGACGUACACGACGAAUCUGUAACAGAAGCCUUUUUUUUUAAAAAGAUUCUUUCCAUAGAAAAAAAAAUUAUCAGACAGAGAGAUAUGAGUUUUGUAGAUCGUCUUGUUGUGUGUCUCUUAUUGACGCUUACAAUUACUACAUCUUUAGCCCGUCACUCUGUCUCCGUUUCAGGGUUUGAGAACACUGGAUUCCAAAGAAGGCCGUUGACGGUGAACGUUGAGGAUUACGGUGACCCUUCUGCGAAUCCUAAACACAAUCCCGGUGUUCCUCCGGCUAAUACCGGCCAACGUGUUGCUGGUAGAGGCUGACCUUUUCUUAUCUCAAGAACAGAACUCGUCUUGUCUUCUUUGCAUCUUCAGAUUGUCUCUGAUAUGAAAUUCUUAGUUUCUGUAACCUUAGUUUCUAUCAUUCUCUAAUCGUAUAUUUCGUAUAAACAUUUCUAUCGUCUUUUACAGACCAUUUCUUCAUUUUCAUUUUCUUGAAAAUGGCUAUGACUAAUGCCUUAUGAUUGAUCCAAAGAAGUAAUAAACUCUUAGUUAACCAA